rnacentral:rRNA from 1 species
UUUACCCGCUGAACUUAAGCAUAUCAAUAAGCGGAGGAAAAGAAACUAACAAGGAUUCCCCUAGUAACUGCGAGUGAAGCGGGAAAAGCUCAAAUUUAAAAUCUGACAGUUUCACUGUCCGAGUUGUAAUCUGGAGAAGCAUUUUCCGCGUCGGACCGUGUACAAGUUUCUUGGAAUAGAACGUCAUAGAGGGUGAGAAUCCCGUCCAUGACACGGACUACCGAUGCUUUGUGAUAUGCUCUCGAAGAGUCGAGUUGUUUGGGAAUGCAGCUCAAAAUGGGUGGUAAAUUCCAUCUAAAGCUAAAUAUUGGCGAGAGACCGAUAGCGAACAAGUACCGUGAGGAGGGAAAGAUGAAAAGCACUUUGGAAAGAGAGUUAAACAGUACGUGAAAUUGUUGAAAGGGAAACGCUUGAAGUCAGUCGCGUUGGCAGAGACUCAGCCUUGCUUUGCAUGGUGUACUUCUCAGUUAACGGGUCAACAUCAAUUUCAGUUGGUGGAUAAAGGCAUUGGGAAUGUGGCACCUUCGGGUGUGUUAUAGACCUUUGUUGCAUACACUGACCGGGAUUGAGGAACGCAGCACGCCACUACGGCCAGGGAUUCGUCCCAUGUAACGUGC